rnacentral:rRNA from 1 species
AACGUAGGUGGCAAGCGUUAUCCGGAUUUACUGGGCGUAAAGCGUGUGCAGAUGGAUUGCCAAGUGAUGUAUGAAAGCGGCCGGCUCAACCGGUCAAGGGUAUGUCAGACUGGCAGUCUCGAGAGUGAGAGAGGGUUGUGGAAUUCCGGGUGUAGUGGUGAAAUGCGUAGAGAUCCGGAGGAACACCAGAGGCGAAGGCGGCAACCUGGCUCAUAUCUGACAUUCAGACACGACAGCAUGGGGAGCGAACGGG